GAACAAUAUUCUCAUGUACUGUACGGGAGGAAUUAGAUGCGAGAUGGCAUCAGCCUAUAUCAGGUCUAAAGGUGCCGGCUUUGAAAAUGUUUUCCAGCUUUAUGGUGGGAUACAACGAUAUCUGGAGCAAUUUCCUGAUGGUGGUUUUUUCAGAGGAAAGAAUUUUGUCUUUGAUCACAGGGUUUCAGUUGGAAGCUCAGAUUCAACAAUUUUGGGUACUUGUCUUCUCUGUAGUUCUCCUUUUGAUGAUUACUCGCCACGGACCCGGUGCACGUACUGUAGGAUGCUUGUAUUAAUCUGUGAUAAUUGCCGGGAGAAGGAUU
rnacentral:misc_RNA from 1 species